rnacentral:tRNA from 1 species
GUCGUCGUGGCCGAGUGGUUAAGGCGACAGACCUGAGAAUGUGUUGGGCUCUGCCCUCACAAGUUCGAAUCCUGUCGGCGACG